GCACUUCUCUCUUCUGCCUCCUAGUGAAAAAGGUGCCUGCUUCUCCUUCUGCCAUGAUUAUAAGUUUCCUGAGGCUUCCCCAGCCAUGCGUAACUGAGUGAGGACCUAGAAUUUUAAUGUCUAAUAUGCGGUGUGAAUUAAAGAAGCGGCCUUGCUAUGCUGACCUUUUCAAUAUUCUAAUCUUUGCUUUGCUGACCUCUCAGGCCUCUUCCUGGCAACAGUUAGGCUUUUGAGAGGAGAGAGAGCUGAGACUGUUGGCUCCUUCCCAUUUAUGAGAGAGCCACAUGACAUCAGCCCAUAGACUGUGGAGAGUAUUCCAGAUCUAUCACAUUCUGCGAUUCUGCGAUUCCCAGAAGGCUGGUCAUGAAAAAAUUCCCUCUUCAGUUUACAUAUAUGGCAGUGGCACUUCUAGAUAUCUGUUGAGGCCUGGAAGGGGCAAAACAAUUCAGGAAGCAGUUGAAGAUAAAGGGGUUUACCAUGGAAGAGAAGAUCCAGGUGCCUUCAUGGAAAUGCUUGUGGUUGAAAAGAGAUGAAGAUGAGGGUCCCUGGAAAGAGGAAGAACCAGCCAGGAAAAUUAUACCAUUAGCAAGACUGGCAUCAGCAAGUAGUUCGCAGUGUUGGUUGUUCUUGGUUUCGCAGGAUUUUAUAGGAGUUCUGAACACUGGGAAGUCCAAGAGCAAGGCAACAACAGAUUCAACAUCUGAGGCUCUGAUCUUUUUCAUUAAAGAAAAAUCACUCUCACAGGGUUCUGCUGAGGGUGUGUGAUUACAGAUGUUGCCAAGGAGCACUCCGGGAACCUCUAAUGGGGAGGACACAAGACAAAGCAAAUGGACAGUCAUUUUUCCAAGAGAUGGGCCCCCUGCCAUGAGGAAGUUCUUCAGGCUGCGUCUCCUUUUUGUGUUUUUAUUUGAUCUUUAAUAAAGAAUAUUAAGACUGAAAAAAAAAAAAAAA
rnacentral:lncRNA from 1 species